rnacentral:lncRNA from 1 species
CACGCCGUAAGAGCCUCUGUGUGGGUUUAAGAGGGCUCUUCUUCCCUCCGUGAUGAUCGUGGUCUUGCGUCUUGAGAUGAAGCCUCUCUAGUUAGGUCAUAGGAGGAAACUCGUGUGAACAUGGACCAUACCUGGUUAUUACAGAGGCUCAACAACAACAACAACAAUAACAACAACCAACCAUCUAAACUGUAGGGUGUUGGUGCCAGAAGAGGUCUGCAGGCCAGCAACAUGAGCAUUUUCUGAGCUUUUUUCAGACAUAUAAAACCAGAGGACUCUUACCAAUCCUACAUCCAAAUCUACACACACUUCCCCAAGUGAUACAUGAAUACACUGGUGAAUGAGACAUCCUGAUGGAGAGAGGACUCAUCUGGUGCGGGGAGGACUCAUCUGGUAGAGGGAAGACUCAUCUGGUGGAGGGAGGACUCAUCUGGUAGAAGAAGGACUCAUCUGGUGCUCUGUUGUCUUACACGCCUUCGCGACCGGCCAGGAAAGACGCAACAAACCGGAAUCUUCUGUGGCAAAAGCUUUAUUGCUUACAUCUUCAGGAGCCAGAGAGCAAGAGAGCCAGAGCAAGAGCAAGAGAGAGCAAGAAAGCAAGAAAAAGAACAAGAACAAGAAAGCAAGAGAGAGCAAG